UUGCUUGGGCAGCACAUAUACUAAAACAGGAACGAAACAGAGAGGAUCGGCAUGGCCCCUGCACAAAAAGGGCACACAAAUUCGUGAAGUGAUCCAUAUUUUU